rnacentral:rRNA from 1 species
CGAAGAACCUUACCAGGUCUUGACAUCCCCUGACAACCCGAGAGAUCGGGCGUUCCCCUUCGGGGGACAGGGUGACAGGUGGUGCAUGGUUGUCGUCAGCUCGUGUCGUGAGAUGUUGGGUUAAGUCCCGCAACGAGCGCAACCCUCGACCUUAGUUGCCAGCAUUCAGUUGGGCACUCUAAGGUGACUGCCGGCUAAAAGUCGGAGGAAGGUGGGGAUGACGUCAAAUCAUCAUGCCCCUUAUGACCUGGGCUACACACGUGCUACAAUGGGCGGUACAAAGGGUCGCGAACCCGCGAGGGGGAGCCAAUCCCAAAAAGCCGCUCUCAGUUCGGAUUGCAGGCUGCAACUCGCCUGCAUGAAGCCGGAAUCGCUAGUAAUCGCGGAUCAGCAUGCCGCGGUGAAUACGUUCCCGGGCCUU